GAAGAUUCCCUCCCUCUCUUCUUCGUUUCGUCUUUUCAUCUUCUCUUUUGAUCAAUUUUCCCUCUUUUCACCUUGGUUUCUUUCUCUCUCCCUCUUUUCGAAAUUGUUUCACACAAGAGGAAAAGGGAGAGACAGAGAGUGAAGAGAUAAUUGCAGACAAUAAAAGAAGAAAGAAAGA
rnacentral:ribozyme from 13 species